GUUUAAAGACAAGAAGUUGACCAUUAAUCAUAUUGUCCCCUUGUAUGUGAUGAUUUGUUUUUCUCUUACUAGAUUUAAGAUUUUCUCUUGUCUUUGGUUUGGCUUCCAGUGGUUUGACCAUGAUGUGUCCAGGUGUGAAUGUCUUUGUAUUUAUUCUACUUAGAGUUUCUUGAGCUUCUGGAGUUUGUGAAAUGAUUUUUUAAAGUCAAAACUGGGGAAUUUUCAUCCAUUAUGUCAUUAAACAUUUUUCUUUCAUUUUUCUGGAGUCCCCUUCUGGGAUUCCAAUUACAUGUAUGUUGGUAUGCUUCAUGUUAUCCCACCAGUCUCUGAGGCACUGUGUAUUUUUCUUCUAUCUUUUCCUCUCUUUUUUCCACACUGAGUAAUUUCUAAUGAUCUAUCUUCAAUUUCACUGACUCUUCUGUGACCUCCUCUAGUACUUUUAUUUUUGCUAUUAUUUAUUGCAACUCAGAAUUUCCACUGGGUUCUUUUUUAAAAAAUAAUUUCUGCAUUUUAAGUGAGAUCAUCUAUUUGUUGAAUCAUUGUCAUUACACUGAUUUAGUCAUUCUUAAGCAUGGUUUUCUUUAGUUCUUUGAACAUAUUUAUAAUAGCUGCUUUGAAAUCUUUGUCCAAUAAUCUAAUUUCUGGAACCACUCAUAGUAUAUAUUUGCUUUUUUUUCCUGAGUAUGGGUCAGAUUUUGUUUCUUCAUGUCUCAUAACGUUUUUUGAAAACUUGACAUUUUAGAUAAUAUACUCUAGCAACUCUGGACUCUGAUUUCUUUUCCUGAGGCAGUUAUUAUUGUCUUUAUUUGCUUUCCCAGAGGUAAUCUGCAGAAUCUUUGCCUCCUGCAGUACAUGGCCACUAAUGUCUCUGCUCAGCUUUUUUGUUUUUAAGUCUUGUGUUUAACUUUCAGCCUGGCCUUCUAAGAGUAGUCCCUGUAGCUUAGUUUAGUGGUCAGCCAAUGAUUGGGCAGAGGCUGUGCUCAAACACCUUAAGCCUACAAGAUCCAUCCUCUGCUAAUGGAUCUGUGUGUGGGAUGAAGAAUACAUUUAAAGUUCACUCUGUUUUCAAGUCUGCCUAACUUUUACUUUUGUCAAGGCACUCGUGGCUUUCCCCUGUGCAUAUGCAUAGUUUCCUGGUCAUUCGGGGUCUGUGGAGAGAUUUCAUAGCAUUUCUUUUUUUUUUUUUUUUUUUUUUUUUUUUUGAGACGGAGUCUCGCUCUGUCGCCCAGGCCGGACUGCGGACUGCAGUGGCGCAAUCUCGGCUCACUGCAAGCUCCGCUUCCCGGGUUCAAGCAAUUCUCAUGCCUCAGCCUCCCGAGUAGCUGGGACUGCAGGCGCCUGCCACCAUGCCUGGCUAAUUUUUGUAUUUUUAGUAGAGACGGGGUUUCACCAUGUUGGCCAGGAUGGUCUCGAUCUCCUGACCUCAAGUGAUCCACCCACCUCGGCCUCCCAAACUAUUGGGAUUACAGGUGUGAGCCACCACGCCUGGCCAGUAAAUUUUCAAACUAAAAACUUCUUAAUUCCUUGUUUCCUUUUGGUUGAUUUCCAUAGCCCUGAAAUUGUUUUUCACAAUGUUGCCCAGUUUUGUGGUGAGAAUUUGUCAACCUCUUCACUCUGCAAUAGCCAACAGUCCCACCCUAUAUGUACUUUAUAAAUGCAACCGCACAGUAUAUCCUGUUUUCUACACUAAAAAAGUCUAUAUAUUCUAGAUUUUGUUUGAUUUACAGAUUUGAUAACUGGGCUUUUUUUUUUUUUUUUUUUUUUUUUUUUGAGACGGAGUCUCACUCUGUCACCUGGGCUAGAAUGCAGUGACUCGAUCUUGGCUCACUGCAACCUCCACCUCCCAGCUUCAAGCGAUUCUCCUGCCUCAGCCUCCCGAGUAGGUGGGAUUACAGGCGCCUGCCACUAUGCCCAGCUAAUUUUUUGUAUUUUUAGUAGAGACUGGGUUUCCCCAUGUUGGCCAGGUUGAUCUCGAAUUCCUGACCUCGUGAUUCGCCUGCUUCAGCCUCCCAAAGUGCUAGGAUUACAGGCAUGAGCCACCACGCCCAGCUGAUAACUAGGCUUUUUUUAGUUGAUUUUCUAAAUUCUCACAUUAAACUUUUGGGAUCAUUACCUCCUAUUAAAUAAAAUUUAUAGGAGGCCACUGAUUUGGACUAGGUUCCUGCACUAGACCCCAUCAGACCAAACCAAAAUGGAGUCACUCAUGCUAAAGUUUCAUAUCACCAAACUGAAACUAAGUUGUUUAUCUAACCUUCCAGAUAAAUCAGGGGAGAGAUAAUAGCCAAAUCCUCGAACAGGCCAGUUUUAGCCAGCAUAACAAGGAAAUCCCCCCCCCAGCUUUAACCCUUUCAAGGAAAACAACUUUGAAAUGAUCACUCCAUCUUUUAUUCUUUGAUUCUGCAUUCUUCAGCCUUUUCUUGUCUAUAAAUACUCACUGGCCACAUUGCAGAGCAGAGCUCUCUGAAUCUCUUCAGGUUGUGAGAGCUACCUGAUUCUUGAAUUAUUAUUUGCUCAAAUAAACUCUGUUAAAUUUAUUUUGUCUAAGGUUUUAUUUUAUUAGAUGUAUGGUCAAAAGCAAUGGUUCAAAGGAGAUCCACAUUGAUGAACUCCAGGAUUAACAAGCAAACAGACUGGCUACUCUGCUGAGUUACUUGUGCUCACUGCUUCUCUUUGCACAUUUGGAGGGUGUCACUGAGACAUGUUGCCCAAGCUGGCUCGACUCAAACUCCUCGGCUCAAGCAGUCUUUCCAUCUCAGCCUCCUGAGUAGCUGGGACUACAGGCAUAUGCCACCACAUCCAGCAAAUACAAUUGGAAACAUUGGUUAUUUUACCAAGGCUUUGGCUGGAGCAUCAUAUUUGAAAAUGUGCAUAGACUACUGGGUUUUUUAGCCUUAUGAAAAGAAGGCCCAGAAACUUUAAAUAUAUUUUAAAGAUCUGAAGAAGAGAAGAAUUCAUCCAAACCUAUUGGCAUUACAGAACAAAAACUGCCCUUUUCCGGAAGCCCUGCAAGCUGAAGCUGGACAACUUAAUCUAGACUUAAAGAGAACUCACCACCACAGCUUACGUAUGGACAACUUUUGUGCCUGUUGCUGUGAGCUGCUCAGACAUCACUGGAAACAUUCAAACUGCAAAAGAUGCUUCAAAGUCAGAUGGACCCACCGGGACCAGCAACUCUUCCGUGGCUCCCACCCAGAAGCCAACUGAGUGCACCAGGACCAGCUUCCACACCCCGAUGGUUGCAUCCCCAACCAAUCAGCAGUACCAAUUCCCUAGUCCUCUGUCUGCCAAACUAUCCUUGCAAAACCCUAGCUUCCACAUUUUCGAGGAGGAUGAUUUGAGUAAUAAUAAAACUCCCAUCUCCCCUUUAGCCAGUUCUCUGUGUAUUAAACUCCUUCUCUUUUGCCAUUCCCCUGUCUUGAAAAAUCUGCUCUCUCUGGGUAGUAGGCAAGAUGAACACAUUGAGCAGUUACCUAAUGAUAAGAAUGUUCAUAUCUGUGCUGCCCAAAGUGGUAGCCAGUAGCCACAUGUGGCUGCUGAGUACUUGAAAUAUGAACAGUGUGGCUGAAGAACUUAGAACUGAGUUUUUAAUUUAAUUGUAAUGGCUAAUGUUUG
rnacentral:lncRNA from 10 species